GUGACUCGGUCGGCUACAGUGGCUCAGUCAUGUUUCGACCUGAAGGCAUAGGAAUAUACAUAUAUUUGUCUCUUUUACCGAUUCAAAGGUCUUUGUACCCGAACACGUUUAAACCAGUUUGCUCGCCGGUCAAGUGCCGUGCGGAAGGGUGAGGGAAUGUUUUUUGUUUUCGCGCCCUCUAAAUUACAUUCUAAGAAUGCCACGGAAAAAAACCGACAGAAAAAUAGGGAAGAAAUAAAUAACGAAGAGAUUGAGAUGACUUAAGAUCUUAUAGGUAGCAAUAAAAGUACUAAGAGUCGUGUUGAAUUGUUGAUUAUAAUAAGAAUAGCUUGUGCAGUUUUGUUAUUAUUUCUAACAAAAAACUACGCGGAAUGGGCAUUUUCUUUUCAUAUAAAUACUGCCUUACCACGUUAAUACUGUGUACCACGGUAGUGAGUCAGUGUGUACACCUAGUAGUCCACAGUGACUCAAUUAUCAUUUUUUUGUUUUAGGUUCCUACUUUGACAUAAGUAGUAAAUAAUGUAGAAUCAUGAGUGCUCAGUUACAGUUCAAUAGUGUAUCUAAAAUGUGAGCAAAUUUUAGGCCAAUAUUAAAGCGAUAUCUAUUUUUAUUAAGCUUCGAAAAAAAAGUGAGUCACUGUUGCCUCCCUGACCCUACUUAUAUUUUGAACAAUGUAUUUCAGAGCCAAUUUGUAAACGAAUUUGAAGACUAGUAGUAAGUAGUCACAUGACAUGUAGGUAACAUUUGUAGAAUUCGAUUGUCCUCUAAUUUUGAGUGAUAGUUUGGUACCCCAGUUCAAAAUUGAACAAGUACUUAUAUCGCUGGAAUUGAAAUAAUAAACAGUUGGCGCCAACUGUUAUUUUUCGACUGUUUAUCAUUAUUAAAAUCAGUUCAAAAUGUAUUGUUUUAAAUUAAUCGACAAUCGAAUUCCGUAACCUGUAAAUGGCAUAGGCUAAGGCUACAGAUUUGUAAUCAGCUAUCAGUCCAGUAAUAUCAGGUUAUCAUAGCAGAAGUAAUUUGUCAGCGUAUUUACUUAUUUUCAUAUCUACAUUAAUGACAUCACAUCAUAAGUAAUACA